GUCUAUAAAGUCGUGUCCAUCAAAUUGGAUAUCAUUUGGAUCUUCGUGUUACAAUAUCAGUGCACAUGCGCAUUCGUGGGACAAAGCAGCUAUGGAGUGUCUACGGUGUGGUGCAAAACUAGUCGAGAUAGAGACAAAGGAAGAAAACGAUUUUCUGAAACAAAGAAUCAGCAGAUAUAGUGACUAUGACAGUUUUUGGAUCGGUGGAACAGAUAAAAUAAUAGAGGGAACAUUUGUCUGGGCCUCCACUGGAAGUUCUUUGAUGUUCACGGACUGGAACAGUGAGGAACAAAAUGACAUAAGAGGCAAUGAAGACUGCGUUGAAAUCUCCAAGACACAAG